AAUUUGGUAGUGAGAAGCUGAAGUCUAGACAUUUUCACUUUAGAUGUGCCUUCAUAAGUAUUUCUGAGAAUUUCCCAUGCAUCUUUGGCCACAAUACAUGUGUUUAUUAACCUGAAUACAUUUUUGUCAACUCCAUUGAAUAAAGCAUUCAAAGCUUUAGAGUUUCCAAGGGUCAGUUCAUCUUCUUCCUUAUAUAAGUCCUCUUCAGGAUUCAAGUC
rnacentral:lncRNA from 1 species